rnacentral:misc_RNA from 1 species
AACUGAUACUACCUGCGGGAACCUGCGGAAGGAUCAUUAUCGUAUAACGGAGGCACCCAGGGCUGUCGCUGGCCUUAACAGGUUGUGCACGCCCAAAGUGCUCUCAAAUCCAUCUCACCCCUUUGUGCAUCACCACGUGAGGCCCCCAUUCAGGGGUCUUGCGUUUUUACAACAUACGCCGCAUGUAUAGAAUGUCUUUGCGAUCACACGCAAUUAAUAUAACUUUUAACAAUGGAUCUC